GAACGCAUAUUGCGCCCUCUGGUAUUCCGGAGGGCAUGCCUGUCCGAGCGUCAUUGCUACCCUCAAGCGCAGCUUGUUUGUUGAGCCCGAUUGUCCGUUAAUGGACAGGCUCGAAAUGCAGUGGCGAUGCCGAGUUUGGUGCCCGAGUGUAUGGAGCUUUGUCACACGCUCUGGUGGCCCAGCCGGCAUUUGUCUUUAUUUCCCCAAAAUUUGACCUCGGAUCAGGUAGGGAUACCCGCUGAACUUA
rnacentral:misc_RNA from 1 species